GCCCCCGUAGCUCAGCUGGAUAGAGCAUCGGACUUCUAAUCCGAGGGCCAGAGGUUCGAAUCCUCUCGGGGGUA
rnacentral:tRNA from 1 species